rnacentral:rRNA from 1 species
CCUACGGGGGGCUGCAGUGGGGAAUAUUGCACAAUGGGGGAAACCCUGAUGCAGCGACGCCGCGUGAGUGAAGAAGUAUUUCGGUAUGUAAAGCUCUAUCAGCAGGGAAGAAAAUGACGGUACCUGAUUCAGAAGCCCCGGCUAACUACGUGCCAGCAGCCGCGGUAAUCCGGAGGGGGCAAGCGUUAUCCGGAUUUACUGGGGGUAAAGGGAGCGUAGACGGCAGCACAAGUCUGGAGGGAAAUGGCGGGGCUUAACCCCGGAACUGCUUUGGAAACUGGGCAGCUAGAGUGAAGGAGAGGUAAGUGGAAUUCCUAGUGUAGCGGUGAAAUGCGUAGAUAUCAGGAGGAACACCAGUGGCGAAGGCGGCUUACUGGACUGUAACUGACGUUGAGGCUCGAAAGCGUGGGGAGCAAACAGGAUUAGAUACCCCUGUAGUC